UGGGUUUGGUAUUAACCUUAUAUCCGAUGGAUACCCGCAUGAAUAUCCACCAAACCCGCAAUAUUUUUUCUAAAUAUUUUUAAUUUAAUUUUAAUCUAAAAAUGUAGAAAGAAAAUAAUGUCAUUAUUCAAAUUACCAAAUAGCCAAAGACUCAAAGUUGUGUAUGUGUGUAUGUGGUCCAUCUCCCAUUCUAAAGUCAUAACCUAAAGAAAACUAAAGGCAUUUCCCUUCGAAUUAGUGUUUGAAAUAUUAAUCUUAAUUAUUAUUAUAGACAUUGUGUUGGAUGGGUGCUUAUGGUGGUGAAUGAAAUGAAUAUCUUCUCUUGGAGCUUGUUUUAAAUAAUAAUUUGAAAUGUAAUUAUUAUUUUUAGAUAUUAGUUUGUGUUUUUUAAAUGAAUUUGUGUAAUUUAUACUUAAAUUUGAGAAUUUGUGUUGGAUUGAUGUGGAAAUUUUAAUUUUUUAUUUAUAUUGUUUAAAUAUAAAAUUGAGUAUGUUAUAUGAAAUUUGAGGUUAUUAUUAUAAAUUUAUAUAUUAAAGAUUUGUGAUUUUAAAUACGGAAACCCGCAAAAAAUCCGUCGGGUACCAUUGCGGGUUUGGUAAUUGUUAAAACCCGCUGCGGGUGGAUUUUUUUAAAAAAAUUAAAACCCGCUGCGGGUUGCGGGUGGGUUUGGUAAUUUAAAUUUUGUGCGGGUUUGGGUUUGGUAAUGACAAACCC
rnacentral:lncRNA from 1 species